rnacentral:rRNA from 1 species
CGAUUUCCGUAGGUGAACCUGCGGAAGGAUCAUUACAGAAAGAAAAGCGGAUCGAACCGCGAACUUCUAAACCUUUGACGAUUGACUCAUGUUGCCUCGGCGGGUUCUCCCGCCAGAGGAUACAUCAAAACUCCUGUUUUAACGGUGUUGUCUGAGCUACAAGCAACGAAUCAAAACUUUCAACAACGGAUCUCUUGGUUCUGGCAUCGAUGAAGAACGCAGCGAAAUGCGAUAAGUAGUGUGAAUUGCAGAAUUCAGUGAAUCAUCGAAUCUUUGAACGCACAUUGCGCCCCUUGGUAUCCCGAGGGGCAUGCCUGUUCGAGCGUCAUUUCACCACUCAAGCCUGGCUUGGUGUUGGGCGACGUCCCCUUUGGGGACGCGCCUCGAAACGCUCGGCGGCGUGGCACCGGCUUUAAGCGUAGCAGAAUCUUUCGCUUUAAAAGUCGGGGCCCCGUCUGCCGGAAGACCUACUCGCAAGGUUGACCUCGGAUCAGGCAGGGAUACCCGCUGAACUUAAGCAUAUCAAUAAGCGGGAGGAA